UCGAUUAUACUUUGUCGUUUAUCGAUAUACCAUUGAAACUUUUUAACCGAAUGCAAAAAUUAGAAUUUGGAUAGAGAUUAGUUUAUCGUAUAUAUCGAGUAUGGAAAAUUAGAACUCGACUAGUCAUAUAGUUGGAUAUUAGUGUAUCGACCAAUGUCAACCAUUGACCGAAACCAUGCGGAUAGAUAAAGCUACAUAUUCACGACACGGAAUACAUAUUAUGCAUGCAUAGUUACGAAAUAUCGAUAUGUGUCUUGCAUUUGGGAAUUGCGUCAAAAUCAACUCUAUCGAAUAUUUCAGUAGUACGACAAAUUUCCAAUCUCUUCCUCUUAUAUUUUUCAUGCGAUAUUUAUUUACUUUCUAAUCGAUAUUUAAUCGAGUAAAUAAGAUAAUCCGUAAAUCAGAUGAGAAGAGAAUUUACGUUAGAAUUUCCGUUACGGAAAUUGUUCUCUCCUCGUCGAAAUUUAGAAAUGAUCCCAUUAUUAUCCCCGUGCAUUAUUCCGAGUUCUAAUGCAAACGAGCAUCGGCAAAACUCUCGGAUUAUUCAACGUAUAUUCCCUAAUUAAAAGUUUAUGACAAUUAUCAGCGCGAAUGAAAACGAGCCAGCGAAAAAGUUAUUCCUGUGCGGCUCUUUUCAACUGGCUCGCGAUUGUCAACUUGUUCCCAUAAAUUCGCUCGUGAAAUGCGCUAAUUAUCACGCGUGAAAUUUACGAACGUAAAUUUAUGUUAAGCGAAAUCCUGCUUCUUCCUAAUCUAAAUGAAACUUUCGUAAAAUUUUCGCGAUAAUAUAUAUAUAGUUUAGUCCGAAAGGGAAUUUAAUAUAGGCGUGGAAUAAUGCGUUUUGAAAAAUGUCGUGUUGAAAACGUUUGAUGAAUUUACGAGGGGAAAAAAAAAAGAAAAAAAAAAAAAAGAAAAAAAAAAGAUGGACGAGAGGCGCCAUUGUUCUCUCUAUUUCAGUGUUCAGAAUUUGUAACGGGUAGGCGCAAUAACGAUUAGCGCUAUUUCGGUCGUCUCGAAGGCAAAACGCUUUCGCCUCGAUUCUAACAGAGGGCAAUGUGUGCACAACAGGCUUUUAAAGCGUCUUCUGUCCGAGGGUGUGAGCCUAGAUCGUGAACGGAUGUCGCUGCAGCAACGUCGUUGCGACCAUCGCCGCCUAUUUUCGGUUUUUCCAGUCCCUUGCUUCAGCCUGAAUUCCCGAUAUUUUUAUCGAAGCCGUUCGCCAUGCUUAAAAUCGAUAUACCGAUAAUGCAUGGACACUUGGAAAUAUAUAUACAACCGAACGUCACCUUGCUUGCAAGAGCCGAUGAAAAGGGCAUCGAUUUAAGGAGAAUGAAGUCGAAGAAAGAAUAGAAAUGAAUGGGGAGAGGACUCUGCUGUUGCGUCUCGACGGCGGAAAAACGCAUUCGUACAUAAACGCGUGUUGGAAAUAAUUUUUUCAGCUCGAGAGAUCGCUUAUCUUUAUUCCUGCACGCAGGAGGUGCAGGAAGGUUCAUACACGCGAACUUGUCGCGUUGGAGGACACUCUCCCCCCCAUGCUUUCCAUUUCCAAUCCACACCGAUGGAUGGGAAUAAUUCUCGUUUACAGGGCACGUAUAAUAAUGGAAUUUCAAAUAUGUCGAUAAAACGUUUCGUGAUGGAUAGUGUUCCCGGAUGGUGUUUCGCUUAAGGCCUGAAAGGACACGACGGAUGGAUUUUAAUAAUAAGGGAAAAGAAUACCUAUUGGAAUUUUUCAUUGCACAAACACUUUUUUUUUUCGGAAGCUCAGUUUUAAUCGUCAGGAGAUUAUUACUUCGUCUUUUAUUUUAAAUCAUCCACCAAUACUUGCGAUCUGAUUAGGCUUAUAUUUUUUCUCAAAAGGUGGGUUUAAUAGCUAAAAAAUAAGCGAUGAUUUCUUUUAUUCGAAUAUAUAUGCCCCUUUAAAACUCGAAUUUCGUCGAAUUCACGAAUACCCCCCGAGUAUUUAGUUAUUGCACGGAAUGUUGACGUUCAUCCGAUAAAGGAUUUCUAUUUCGGUCUCAAGUCAGAUCGAUCACGUCGCAAAAUUGGAAUAUCGAUCACGGGAUACGCUGGUUUUUCACAGGGCGAGCAGCAACACGGUGAGCUACAUAAAUUUAUCAAUCCUCGUGAAAAUUGCAAUGCGACCAUCGACGGUCGAAAAUAUUCGAACUCAUAUCUCGUUUAUACGUCACCUAACUCUUUCGUUGAUCUUUCUCCUUUAAGAAGAAUCAAUUUUUUUUUCCUCUUUUUUUUUUCUACCGCUAUUCCUAUACUCUUUUUCACUUCCUAUUUCGCAUAUCCUCGCUCGAUCUCUCGUGAAUAACAAACCACGACAUAUCAAUUACAAUCGUCACCGAAAAUAAUUUAUCGCUGCACGAAACGAUUUAAGAAAGAAACAAAGAAUGAAUUCCACCGCUCGAAACUCUCACCCCGUGUUGUAUUAAAAAUCGAAAAAUAAUAGAAUUUGAAUUUUUCCACGAGGAUAUUUUUACAAAGCGUAUUGGAUACGUCUACCUUUGAUCCACCAUCUUUGAUUCUAUCUGUCCGCACCGAGAGAGAACGUCUUCGGUGUUUGUCUCUUUCGAGGACGCAUAGAGAGAGAAAGAGAGAGAGAGAUACUUUUACACGAAGAAAGGAACUGGAAUCCAGUGAUUUUUUUUUUUUUUCCUUUCUUUCUUAUUCCCUUUCCGUUCACGUGAACGGAUUUUUCCCAUCCUUGAACACAUCGUGUGUUAAGUAAGUACGGUUGAAGUACGGAGGAGAGCUGGUAGGAUAAAGGAUUGUCCUGAUCUCGAAUUCGGAUGGCCGCGCCCCUCCCGCGUGUUCCAAGUAAUUCGAGGGAAAAAAGGAGAAGCAAGGAAGGAAUAGAAAUUCCGAUUCCGAUCUUACCUCGCCAGGAUCAAUAAAGAACGCCUUCCUCCCUCCUCUCCUCGAGAUUUUUCGAUUUUUCCCAAAAAAAGCGUCGAAUCGGAAUUUCUAUUUGGGGAUAAAAUUUUUGCGGAUAGAAACAGGGGCAGAUAACCUAUUUUUCUCAAUUCGAUCGGUUGGCCGUUUACGUCGCGUUCGGGAUUUUUUUUUUUUCUCUCUUCUAAACGGUGAAUCCCGCCGUUUCAGGGAAAGGGGAGCAAUAAAGGAUUAUUUAUUUUUAUCACAAAGAGAAAAGAAUAUCGAGUUUACGAGUCGUAAUACGUAGUUGUAUUCUCGGUCAAGUACUCGGGGGGAGAGGGAGGAGACAGAGGAAUUAUUCCGGUGGCGUUCGUUAUUGAAACCGGCACUCGAGAGCAAUUUUUUUUUUCCUUCGAUUCGAAAGAAAAUCGUUUCACGGUGAAAAAACUGCGAGGAGGAAAUUGUAAUUUCCCUUCGAAAAUGUAUCGAUGUGCGCAUGCGCGCAUCGAACGAACCGAGAUCGAGAUGCUACUCGAUGAAAAAAAAUAUAUCGUGUGUAUAUUUAAGUUUUCGAUACUCUUUCGUAUCUAAAUGGAGCGUGUCGGAAUAGUUUUAGAAAAUAUAUCGAAAAUGAGAUGUGAAAAGUUGUUCUGAAUAUUCUUUGAAAAGUCUAAAUGGCAACGAAGAGCAUUGGCUUGGUUUUCAAGCGCAUAGUUUGGAAGAGAUUGUCGCGUUCUUCAUCUUUGUUUGAAGCCACGGACGAGAUAUUUCGCAUGUAUCACGAUGUACCAUUGACGAAAUAUUCCGCGUCUAACGAAAAAUUCUGCGAUACAAUAAUUAUUUUGUCCCAAAAUUAACGCAAGAUUUGAAUUAAAUAUAAAAGAGAGUUCUUAAAAUAUUAUUUUUAAAAUAUUGUUUAAUAAUAAAGACACGUUGUUGUAUCGUAUAACGGUCCAUUUUUACUAACCUUAAACUCUCAGCUGUCAAACUGUUCUUUUUUCAGAGUUGCCAACAAUGCAAAAAUGGCGGCAAAUUCAAUCUUGUUAAUUUUGGGACACCCUUUACAACAUCUCCAUACGUGAAAUAUUUCUCGAUCCAAUAUCGCUAAUAAUGCCACGAAAUAUUUUGCGAUAAUGUUUCUAUAUCACCAUGCACGAAAUACUUCGUACAUAACGCUACGAACGAAAUAUUUCGAGAUACAAUAUUCCUGUGUAUCGAUGUGACGAAAUAUUCUGCGGUACGAUAUUGUUUGUAUAUCAUUAUAAUACGAAAUAUUUCGUAUGUGAUGGCUACGAACGAAAUAUUUUGCGAUACAAUAUUGUCUAAUAAUGCCACGAAAUAUUCUGCGAUGCGAUAUUGUUUGUAUAUUGCCACGAACAAAAUAUUUGGCGAUACAAUAUUGCUAGCCAAGAAUGAAAUAUUUCAUAUUUCGUAUAUUACAUUACAAACGAAAUAUUUCGCUAUACAAUAUUGCUAGUAAUGACACGAGAUAUCCUGCAGUACGAUAUUAUUUCUAUAUGCACGAAAUAUUUUGCGAUACAAUAUUCUAAGUAAUACGAAAUAUUCUGAGAUACGAUAUUGUUUGUAUAUUGCUACGAACGAAAUAUUUUGCGAUACAAUAUUGUCUAAUAAUGCCACGAAAUAUUCUGCGAUGCGAUAUUGUUAUACUUAAUAAAAAAAAUACUAAAUACUAAAUACUUAUAUUGUUAAUACUUCGCGAUACAAUAUUGCUAGGCAAGAUCGAAAUAUUUUCAUAUUUCGUAAUAUUUCAUGUUACAUACAAACGAAAUAUUUUGCUAUUAUUUCGUAUUAGUACGAUAUUAUUUCUAUAUGCACGAAAUAUUUUGCGAUACAAUAUUCCUAGUAAUACGAAAUAUUCUGAGAUGCGAUAUUGUUUGUAUAUUGCCGCGAACGAAAUAUUUGGCGAUAUAAUAUUGCUAGCCAAGGACGAAAUAUUUCAUAUUUCGUAUAUUACAUUACAAACGAAAUAUUUCGCGAUACAAUAUUGGUAGUAAUGACACGAGAUGUCCUGCAGUACGAUAUUAUUUCUAUAUGCACGAAAUAUUUUGCGAUACAAUAUUCCUAGUAAUACGAAAUAUUCUGAGAUGCGAUAUUGUUUGUAUAUUGCCGCGAACGAAAUAUUUGGCGAUAUAAUAUUGCUAGCCAAGGACGAAAUAUUUCAUAUUUCGUAUAUUACAUUACAAACGAAAUAUUUCGCGAUACAAUAUUGGUAGUAAUGACACGAGAUGUUCUGCAGUACGAUAUUAUUUCUAUAUGCACGAAAUAUUUUGCGAUACAAUAUUCCUAGUAAUACGAAAUAUUCUGAGAUGCGAUAUUGUUUGUAUAUUGCCGCGAACGAAAUAUUUGGCGAUAUAAUAUUGCUAGCCAAGGACGAAAUAUUUCAUAUUUCGUAUAUUACAUUACAAACGAAAUAUUUCGCGAUACAAUAUUGGUAGUAAUGACACGAGAUGUUCUGCAGUACGAUAUUAUUUCUAUAUGCACGAAAUAUUUUGCGAUACAAUAUUCCUAGUAAUACGAAAUAUUCUGAGAUGCGAUAUUGUUUGUAUAUCGCCACGAACGAAAUACUUUGCGAUACAAUAUUGCUAGCCAAGGACGAAAUAUUUCAUAUUUCGUAUAUUACAUUACAAACGAAAUAUUUCGCUAUACAAUAUUGUUAGUAAUGACACGAGAUGUCCUGCAGUACGAUAUUAUUUCUAUAUGCACGAAAUAUUUUGCGAUACAAUAUUCUUAAUAAUACGAAAUAUUCUGAGAUGCGAUAUUGUUUGUAUAUUGCCACGAACAAAAUACUUGGCUAUACGAUAUUGCUAGCCAAGGACGAAAUAUUUCGAACGAAACAUUUCGCGAUACAAUAUUGCUAGUAAUGACACGAGAUGUCGUGCAGUACAAUAUUGUUUAUAUAUCACGACGGACGAAAUAUUCCACGUAUAGCGCCACCGAACGAAAUAUUUCUCGAUUCGCGACAUUGCUAGUAACGCCACGGAUGAGAUAUUCCGCCGAAUAAUGCAACGAAAUAUUCUGCAUAUUGUUUGUAUAUCACCACACACGAAAUAUUCCGCGGUGUAAAAUAUUGUUUAUAUAUCACCACGGACGAAAUAUUUCGUACACGACGCUACGGACGAAAUAUUCCGCGUUAAUAUUAUUGCGCGCGUCGGCCGUGAAUCGGAUAUCUCGUUCAUCGAAAGAUAAAAAUAACACCGAUUCUCGCUCUAACGUCUUGUCUAUACGUUGUGCACGAACGUAUAUACCUCGUCGAGGAAUAUUUCAUUGUCUCGUUGUAAAUCGUGCUCGUCGCCAUCCGAUUCGAUAAUUGGGUAUAAUUUAAAAUGAUACGACGAGCUUUUGUUUCUAUCCCGAUAUAAUGUAAUGGAACAACCGUGAAAUCCGUUUUUACGGAUUUUCCUUUCCAUUUUUCUCGAAGCCCUAUUAUUUAUUCCCCGGUCCAAGGAGCGAGUUUACGCUCUCGAAACGUCUCGAAUGUAUUUAUGUGUAACCUAAUAUCGCACGAAUAUGCGUUCAAAGUGAGUAGAAGAGGAAAGAAAGAAAAAGAUAGAGAUAAAGAGAGAGAGAGAAUGGAAACUCGAGAAUAUUUCUGCAACAAAUUAUGGACGAUGAGCGAUGGAUGUUGGCGCAGAAAACAAUAAAAUUGUGUGAACGAAUGCGAUGGCUCGGGUGGAAGGGAUGAAUAAAUAAACGAGCCUCCGAAUGAGUUUUAAACUUCAA